rnacentral:rRNA from 1 species
GACAUAGGUGGCGAACGUUAUCCGGAUUUAUUGGGCGUAAAGGAUGCGUAGAUGGUGGAAUAAGUUAUUGGUCAAAGUCAAGCUCAACUUGGCGGAAGCUGGUAAUACUAUUCUACUUGAGGAUAGGAGAGGUUGGCGGAAUUCUGUGUGGAGCGGUGAAAUGCGUUGAUCUACAGAGGAACACCAAAAAAGGCGAAGGCAGCCAACUAUUCUAUUCCUGACAUUGAGGCAUG